AUUUCCAGGUCUCUAUCAGCAGAAUUGGAAUUACUUCAUCAUUUUCAGCAUUUCUUUUUCCUUUCCAGCAUUUAUUGCAGAAAAAAUAUGAGGCUUGCUGGUAGUAUUCCCAGGUGACAAAUGUGCACCCAACACCCUACAGAAAAGAAGAACCAUAAAAUAAUUAAUUAUUCCAUUGUAACUCCUGCCUGGAAAACAUCUGAAAGAAGUCACUAGAUUCAGCCCACAUUCAAGAUGAGAAAUACCAGAAGGCAGAGAACACUGAGGCUGUUUUAGAGGCUGUCAACCCCAGGGAGACAGACAGCAAAUAAGAUGCUUGGAUGUUUUCACACCACUCUGACACAUGGAUGGAAGGUUAGAAGACAACAAAGGAAUGGGCUGGGAAGGACUCCAAAAGCAGAAUCAGAGAUUAUAUCAUUCCUUGGAAAUGGAGAAAAGGAUCAAAAAAGCUGAAUAAAAGGCAAACAUGGAGGAACAGAGUUUGGAGCAAUACCCUGACUUACAUUCAGUACUGUUAAUGGCUCCAGCAUCUUGAAACAAACCAAUUUUGGAUUUUCAGCCGCUGUCCAAGAUGACGUGAACUCCAGGCUAUUGACUUUCCUCUACCUUCAAUGGAAAUUGUCAUGGAGAAUUAAGUUUUUGACAAAUCUACAGCCUAUGUGCAGGGCUUCUUCCUGGGUGUAACAAUAAGGAAUUUGGAAACUGUCUCUAGUUUUGGCCUGGAGUCACACUGCAGCUUGAGACCCUGUCAUUUCCAUCAAGCUUGAAAAUAUACAUCUUAAUAAACUGCAAUACUUCUUAAACCUUG
rnacentral:lncRNA from 1 species